rnacentral:misc_RNA from 1 species
UCACUUUCAAUUACCAAACUUUCUUCAACAAACUUCAUUCUAUUGGAUUUAUACCGUUAGUAGAAAAGUAGUAGUAUAGUGUGACUAAAUUAAUUAUAUUUUCAUCAGGUACACUCCCAACUAAUUUGCCAACUUUACCUGCAUGCAGACACAAUAAAAAAAAAUUGUAAGCAAAACAAAACACAUCGACGAAGACCAAAAAACGAGACUCGGGCUGCCAAGAAAAUGUGUACAAUACUAUUUGCCUAG